rnacentral:rRNA from 1 species
GAGUUUGAUCCUGGUUCAGAUUGAACGCUGGCGGCAUGCCUUACACAUGCAAGUCGAACGGCAGCAUGAUCUAGCUUGCUAGAUUGAUGGCGAGUGGCGAACGGGUGAGUAAUACAUCGGAACGUGCCCUGUAGUGGGGGAUAACUAGUCGAAAGAUUAGCUAAUACCGCAUACGACCUGAGGGUGAAAGUGGGGGACCGCAAGGCCUCAUGCUAUAGGAGCGGCCGAUGUCUGAUUAGCUAGUUGGUGGGGUAAAGGCCCACCAAGGCGACGAUCAGUAGCUGGUCUGAGAGGACGAUCAGCCACACUGGGACUGAGACACGGCCCAGACUCCUACGGGAGGCAGCAGUGGGGAAUUUUGGACAAUGGGCGAAAGCCUGAUCCAGCAAUGCCGCGUGUGUGAAGAAGGCCUUCGGGUUGUAAAGCACUUUUGUCCGGAAAGAAAUGGCUCUGGUUAAUACCUGGGGUCGAUGACGGUACCGGAAGAAUAAGGACCGGCUAACUACGUGCCAGCAGCCGCGGUAAUACGUAGGGUCCAAGCGUUAAUCGGAAUUACUGGGCGUAAAGCGUGCGCAGGCGGUUGUGCAAGACCGAUGUGAAAUCCCCGAGCUUAACUUGGGAAUUGCAUUGGUGACUGCACGGCUAGAGUGUGUCAGAGGGGGGUAGAAUUCCACGUGUAGCAGUGAAAUGCGUAGAGAUGUGGAGGAAUACCGAUGGCGAAAGCAGCCCCCCUGGGAUAACACUGACGCUCAUGCACGAAAGCGUGGGGAGCAAACAG